UACGAAGGGUGCAAACGUUGCUCGGAAUUAUUGGGCGUAAAGGGCUCGUAGGCGGUUUGUCGCGUCGGGAGUGAAAACCUCGGGCUUAACUCGGGGCUUGCUUUCGAUACGGGCAGACUGGAGGUAUGCAGGGGAGAACGGAAUUCCUGGUGUAGCGGUGAAAUGCGCAGAUAUCAGGAGGAACACCGGUGGCGAAGGCGGUUCUCUGGGCAUGACCUGACGCUGAGGAGCGAAAGUGUGGGGAGCGAACAGG
rnacentral:rRNA from 1 species